ensembl:lncRNA LINC02641 long intergenic non-protein coding RNA 2641
GUGGGGGUGUGCGGCUGCAGGCACGCUGGGCCUGUUCUACUGGAAACGCAAGGCUGAGGAGCUCUGUGCCUUGAGAUGGAUGGCAAGGCAUUCCUUUAUCAUCCAACUCCUGCUUCGGGAAAAUUUGUUUCUGUCUGUCUCCAAGAUACAAAAUCAAAAAGGUGUUUUAAUCCUGAGGAAGAGUGUGAGUCUGGGAAAAUUUUGGAUCACCGAGGUGCAGCCAUACCUUCCACAGCCAUCACUGUUGCUUACAACUCACAUGCCAAGAAUUGCAAGAUGAAGAUGGUGAUCAGGAGGCAUGACUUGGAAGAAGAGCCCAAGGACCGUAGCAAGGCCCUGAUUCUGGGAGACGAGAGAACACGCUGACUUAGAAUGCUUGUCUCUGCAUCCUGGUCAGAAAGUAGAUGGACGACACUUUCAUCUCCGACUGGAUUUUGGUGAGAGAUGGGCAAACCCCGGGCUCUAGGCUGGAGCAGCAGCUCUUGUAUCCACACAAAAUCAGGACUGGUGGAGGGAGCCAUCUUCAAACAUAAAUUUGGUGAGGCCAGAGGAGCUCCGUGCUGCUAGGAGAUCCAGGCAGAAACAUCCAGGAGUGGAAGCUCAGCCCAGCGGCUGGGAGGCUGUGGCACCUCCUGUCCACAUGGCAGGCCAGGCCGAGGUGGGCUGGCUACACAGUGGGGCUCCCCCUCUCUGAUAAGGACACAGCAUUUGUCUCCUCCAGAGGAUACAGCACCAAGGCGCCAUCUUGGAAGUAGACUGGAGCUCUUAGCAGACCAGAACCUGUGGGUGUGUUGAUCUUGUACUUCCUGACCUCCAGAACUGUGAGAAAUGCAUUUCUGUUGUUUAUAAGUUGCCCAGUCUCAGGUAUUUUGUUACAGCAUCACAAACAGACUAAGACAAUCUCCUAGAGGAGAAAUCCUCUCUUCCACUACAUGCAUUGUGUCUGUGUAUGGUAGCUGGAGCUGGAGCAGCCACGCUGCAACCCAGGGGCCAGCCAAGGGCAAGGCUGAGAGUGUUAUCACUGAUGUGUCAGGUGGUUCUUUGUUGUUUUGAGAAAGAACUUUAAUUGAGAUAAUUUAUGUAACAUAAAAUUUACUGUUUUACAGUGUACA